rnacentral:rRNA from 1 species
AUACGUAGGGGGCGAGCGUUGUCCGGAAUGAUUGGGCGUAAAGGGCGCGUAGGCGGCCCGGUAAGUCUGGAGUGAAAGUCCUGUUUUUAAGAUGGGAAUUGCUUUGGAUACUGUUGGGCUUGAGUGCAGGAGAGGUAAGUGGAAUUCCCAGUGUAGCGGUGAAAUGCGUAGAGAUUGGGAGGAACACCAGUGGCGAAGGCGACUUACUGGACUGUAACUGACGCUGAGGCGCGAAAGUGUGGGGAGCAAACAGGAGUAGAUACCCUGGUAGUCCACACUGUAAACGAUGAAUGCUAGGUGUAGGGGGUAUCGACCCCUUCUGUGCCGCAGUCAACACAAUAAGCAUUCCGCCUGGGGAGUACGGCCGCAAGGUUGAAACUCAAAUGAAUUGACGGGG